rnacentral:rRNA from 1 species
UAGAUACUCUGGUAGUCCACGCAGUAAACGAUGAAUGUUAGUCGUCGGGAUGCAAGUCAUUUCGGUGAUGCAGUUAACACAUUAAACAUUCCGCCUGGGGAGUACGGUCGCAAGAUUAAAACUCAAAGGAAUAGACGGGGACCCGCACAAGUGGUGGAGCAUGUGGUUUAAUUCGAAGAUACGCGAAGAACCUUACCUAGCCUUGACAUUGAUAGAAUCUUCCAGAGAUGGAGGAGUGCCUUUCGGGGAACUUGAAAACAGGUGCUGCACGGCUGUCGUCAGCUCGUGUCGUGAGAUGUUGGGUUAAGUCCCGCAACGAGCGCAACCCUCGUCAUUAGUUACUAACAGUUCGGCUGAGGACUCUAAUGAGACUGCCUUCGUAAGGAGGAGGAAGGUGAGGACGACGUCAAGUCAUCAUGGCCCUUACGGCUAGGGCGACACACGUGCUACAAUGGUUAGGACAAUGAGAAGCGAUACCGCGAGGUGGAGCAAAUCUAUAAACCUAAUCUCAGUUCGGAUUGUAGUCUGCAACUCGACUACAUGAAGCUGGAAUCACUAGUAAUCGUAGAUCAGCCAUGCUACGGUGAAUACGUUCCCGGGUCUUGUACUCACCGCCCGUCACACCAUGGGAAUUGAAUUCAUUCGAAGCGGGGAUGCUAAAAUAGCUACCUUCCACAGUGGAUUUAGUAACUAGGGUGAAGUCGUAACAAGGUA